GUUCAGAAUACUGAAAAAUAAAUAAAAUAACAAGAAACCGUCCCUCGCUUCACGCUUCGCAUUUCAAGCAACCAUCGCUACAAGUUUCGGCAAAGAUCUCUCUUCUCCUCGUUUGAGCCCAUGAUUUAUCUCGUAUUAAGUAGAGAAAUGGCUCACAGCUUAUAUUUGGGAUGGAAGCCGCCACAUCUUCACACUGAGGUCUGCUAUUUUCUAUGUGAAUGGCUGGGAGACAUAUCUUCUUGAAAAAGCCAUGUUUUCCUCCCUUGGGUUCGAGAAAUUUAGAGUUGUGCCUUGUUUUCUUGGAAAAAACUCAAAAACAGGGGGGGGGGGGGGGGAUGGUUGUUUCUUGGUUUCAGAGGGAUGUACUUUAUCUUGACCAAUUCUUAACUUUAUCAGUUAUUGCUAGGAUUAACUAAUGUCAUCUCUGUUAUUCCUCACUUCUGAUCAUGGCCUGAAUGUCCUGCUGCACUCUUACAGCAGCAAAGGACUUUCAUACAGAUGAGGACUCUUCUCGAGGUCAUGGAUAACUCGGGGGCAAAAAGGUUGAUGUGCCUGCAACCUUUGAAGGGGAAGAAAGGGGCAAGGUUGGGGGACACGAUAAUUGUACCUUGGAAUGCUAUAGCAUGCAGUCCGAGCAAUUAUUUAUUGCAGCAGAAGCCAUAUUUUGCCCCUGGAUUCAGGCAUGUCGUCCAUAUAGUUCCUCUGUUUUCCAUGCUUCAACGGGCACAUCCGCCCUUUGCAAGUCCAACCCUACCAAUGAAUCUAAUAUAUGGAUCCAACAACUUACUUCAAUGGA